rnacentral:rRNA from 1 species
AGCAGUAGCCGCGGUAAUACGUAGGUGGCAAGCGUUGUCCGGAAUUAUUGGGCGUAAAGGGCUCGCAGGCGGUUUCUUAAGUCCGAUGUGAAAGCCCCCGGCUCAACCGGGGAGGGUCAUUGGAAACUGGGAAACUUGAGUGCAGAAGAGGAGAGUGGAAUUCCACGUGUAGCGGUGAAAUGCGUAGAGAUGUGGAGGAACACCAGUGGCGAAGACGACUCUCUGGUCUGUAACUGACGCUGAGGAGCGAAAGCGUGGGGAGCGAACAGGAUUAGAUACCCCUGUAGUCCCUGUCUCUUAUAC